rnacentral:rRNA from 1 species
AGGACGAACGCUGGCGGCGUGCUUAACACAUGCAAGUCGAGCGAAGCUGCUUUAAAACUUCGGUUUUGAGGCAGACUUAGCGGCGGACGGGUGAGUAACCCGUGGGUAAUCUGCCUGGGAGACCGGGAUAACAGCUCGAAAGGGCUGCUAAUACCGGAUGAUACCAUUAACGUAAGUUAAUGGUCAAAGCGUUAUGUAGCGCUUUCAGAUGAGCCCGCGUCCCAUUAGCUAGUUGGCAGGGUAAAGGCCUACCAAGGCGACGAUGGGUAGCCGGUCUGAGAGGAUGGUCGGCCACACUGGGACUGAGACACGGCCCAGACUCCUACGGGAGGCAGCAGUGGGGAAUUUUGCGCAAUGGGGGCAACCCUGACGCAGCGACGCCGCGUGAGUGAAGAAUGCCUUCGGGUUGUAAAGCUCUGUCUAGGGGGAAGAUAGUGACGGUACCCCUGGAGGAAGCCCCGGCUAACUACGUGCCAGCAGCCGCGGU